rnacentral:misc_RNA from 1 species
GAUGAAGAACGCAUCGAAAUGCGAUAAGUAAUGUGAAUUGCAGAAUUCAGUGAACCAUCGAAUCUUUGAACGCACAUUGCGCCCGGCAGUAAUCUGCCGGGUAUGCCUGUCCGAGCGUCAUUUCUACCCUCGAGCGAGUCCAGCAUCUAGGUGCUGGGCCUCGCCCGGCGUUGGAGCACUACGGGAAGCCCUGUGCUGUCCCCCGUAGGCCCCGAAAUGAAGUGGCGGUCCUGCCGCGGCGCCCCCUGCGUAGUAUAACAGCUCGCUUCGGGACCCGGUGGAGGCCUGCCGUCAAACCUAUACUCUCUAAGUUUGACCUCGGAUCAGGUAGGGUUACCCGCUGAACUUAAGCAUAUCAAUAAGCGGAGGA